rnacentral:sRNA from 1 species
GGCCGAGGAGCGUGAACAGAUCAAGACUCUCAACAACAAGUUUGCCUCCUUCAUCGACAAGGUGCGGUUCCUGGAGCAGCAGAACAAGGUUCUGGAAACAAAGUGGACCCUGCUGCAGGAGCAGGGCACCAAGACUGUGAGGCAGAACCUGGAGCCGUUGUUCGAGCAGUACAUCAACAACCUCAGGAGGCAGCUGGACAGCAUUGUUGGGGAACGGGGCCGCCUGGACUCAGAGCUCAGAGGCAUGCAGGACCUGGUGGAGGACUUCAAGAACAAAUAUGAGGAUGAAAUCAACAAGCGCACAGCAGCAGAGAAUGAAUUUGUGACUCUGAAGAAGGACGUGGAUGCUGCCUACAUGAACAAGGUUGAACUGCAAGCCAAGGCAGACACUCUCACAGAUGAGAUCAACUUCCUGAGAGCCUUGUAUGAUGCAGUAAGCAUCUCCACCAUCCUUCUGUUUACUCUGAUGGGGUCUGCAAAGGGGAGAAGAUGUAUAGGGUUGGGUAUCUCUGUAAAUGUUGGAAGUGAAGUUGACCUUAUGACCUUCUGUUCUGCAGGAGCUGUCCCAGAUGCAGACCCACAUCUCAGACACAUCCGUGGUGCUGUCCAUGGACAACAACCGCAACCUGGACCUGGACAGCAUCAUCGCCGAGGUCAAGGCCCAAUAUGAGGAGAUUGCUCAGAGGAGCCGGGCUGAGGCUGAGUCCUGGUACCAGACCAAGUACGAGGAGCUGCAGGUCACAGCAGGCAGACAUGGGGACGACCUGCGCAACACCAAGCAGGAGAUUGCUGAGAUUAACCGCAUGAUCCAGAG